GAGCCAGGUGUGGGAUAUAAUCUCGUGGUGCGCCGUUUUUUAAGCCCGUCGGAAAAGCGCAGUAUUCGGGUGGGAGUGACCCGAUUUUCCAGGUGCCGUCACCCCUUUCUUUGACUAGGAAAGGGAACUCCCUGACCCCUGGCGCUUCCCGAGUGAGGCAAUGCCUCGCCCUGCUUCCGCUCGCGCACGGUGCGCGCACCCACUGACCUGCACCCACUGUCUGCCACUCCCUAGUUAGAUGAACCCAGUACCUCAGAUGGAAAUGCAAAAAUCACCCAUCUUCUGCAUCGCUCAUGCUGGGAGCUGUAGACUGGAGCUGUUCCUAUUCGGCCAUCUUGGCUCCUCCAUAAAGUUUCCUUUCUAAUCAGUAAGAGAUGAAAGCACAAAUGGAAAAAUAGACAAAGGACAUGCAUAGGCAUAAAUUAAGGAGGAAAUGAAAAUGGUUAAUAAACAUAAAAAAUCAAGGAAAUAUUAAUCAAAACAAUCAUAUCUUAAAUCUUUGGAAAAGGGAUUGAGUGCUCAACAAAUAAUGUUGAAAAACUCGGCCAAACUUUUAAAAAGCAUUAAAUUAAGUCCUUAUCUAUGUCAGACAUCAAAAUAAAUAUGAGAAAAAUUAAAAGUUUAGGCCAGGCACAGUGGCUUAUGCCUGUAAUCCCAGCAAUUUGGGAGGCCGAGGCAGGCGGAUUACUUGAGCCCAGGAGUUUAAGAUCAGCCUGGCCAAUGCAGCGAAACCCCUCUCUACCAAAAAUACAAAAAACUACUGGGGCAUGGUGGUGCAUACCUGUAAUCCCAGCUACUCAGUAGGCUGAGGAGUGAGAAUCACUUGAACCUGGGAGGCGAAGGUUGCAGUCUUCUAUGAGGUACAUAGAGUAGUCAAAAUCAUAGAGACAAAAAGU
rnacentral:lncRNA from 1 species